rnacentral:rRNA from 1 species
CAUCCAAGAAGGCAGCAGGCGCGUAAAUCUGCCCGAAUCCUGACACAGGGAGGUAGUGACAAGAAAUAACAAUACAGGGCUACAUCUAGUCUUGUAAUUGGAAUGAGUACAAUUUACAUCUCUUCACGAGGAUCAAUUGGAGGGCAAGUCUGGUGCCAGCAGCCGCGGUAAUUCCAGCUCCAAUAGCGUAUAUUAAAGUUGUUGCAGUUAGAACGCUCGUAGUCGGAUUUCGGGGCGGGCCGACCGGUCUGCCGAUGGGUACGCACUGGUCGGCGCGUCCUUCCUUCCGGAGACCGUUUCUGUUCUUAACUGAAUGGGAGCGGGAGACGGAUCGUUUACUUUGAAAAAAUCAGAGUGUUUCAAGCAGGCAGCUCGCUCUUGCAUGGAUUAGCAUGGGAUAAUGAAAUAGGACUUUGGUGCUAUUUUGUUGGUUUCGAACACCGAAGUAAUGAUUAAUAGGGACAGUCAGGGGCACUCGUAUUCCGCCGAGAGAGGUGAAAUUCUCAGACCAGCGGAAGACGAACCACUGCGAAAGCAUUUGCCAGGGGAUGUUUUCACUGAUCAAGAACGAAAGUUAGGGAUCGAAGAGGAUCAGAUACCUUCGUAGUCUUAACCAUAAACCAUGCCGACUAGGGAUUGGGGGAUGUUCACAAUUGACUCCCUCAGCACCUUACGGGAAACUAAAGUCUUUGGGUUCCGGGGGGAGUAUGGUCGCAAGGCUGAAACUUAAAGGAAUUGACGGAAGGGCACCACCAGGUGUGGAGCCUGCGGCUUAAUUUGACUCAACACGGGGAAACUUACCAGGUCCAGACAUUGUGAGGAUUGACAGAUUGAGAGCUCUUUCUUGAUUCGAUGGGUGGUGGUGCAUGGCCGUUCUUAGUUGGUGGAGUGUUUGUCUGGUUAAUUCCGUUAACGAACGAGACCUUAGCCUGCUAAAUAGUGACGCGAACACUUCGUUGGCGGCCGCUUCUUAGAGGGACAACACGUCUUCAACGUGUGGAAGUUUGAGGCAAUAACAGGUCUGUGAUGCCCUUAGAUGUUCUGGGCCGCACGCGCGCUACACUGAUGCACUCAACGAGUCUCCACCUUGACCGAAAGGUCCGGGAAAUCUUCGAACUUGCAUCGUGAUGGGGAUAGAUUAUUGCAAUUAUUAAUCUUCAACGAGGAAUACCUAGUAGGCGCAUGUCAUCAGCGUGCGUCGAUUACGUCCCUGCCCUUU